UUCUUUCGAGAUCCUCGGAAAGUACGCAGCGGUACAACUGUUGCUUUGGCGUAUGACUAACGGUUUACAGCUAAUAAUCAUGGGCUGUGCUGCAUGACUCAAGCAAAUGACUAAACUGUCCUUACCCAAGGCAAAGAGAGUUCCAAAUCUGUAAGGGCAAUUCAAGUAAAAAAUGAAUACCGGCCAUUGCGGGCCAAUGCCCGAAGGGCGCUGCAGGUAUCAGCGACUCAACGGUUUAAGAUUCGCCCUCUGAAAGUUCUGAACAGCUCCCACUCAUUCUCUCUAUUCUGUUUGUCACUCUAUAAUUUUCUCUCUUUUUCUCUCUAGAACCAAGAGAAGAAGCUCUCUCCCGUUUUUGACAGGUUCAGGGAAAUCUUUGGCCCAUGCAAAUUCAACUAGGAUAGCUGGGUAUACAAUCAGAUCGACUUCUCCUAAGUCUCCCACUGCUUAGUGCCUUUAAGAGUGUGGAAGGAUCUGAUUAUGAAGGUAAUUUGACUGAAAAUUCUAAAAUAGACACUACAUAUAUACAUGCUAGCAGAACCGUUACAAGAUUUAUCUGCUGCAAGAUUAUUGUUUGCCAUCCCUUAUUCCGGCUGCCUGAACUUUUAAACUCUUUCUCUUCUUCUCUGAACUGAUAGUCUUGUUGCUUCAUGGUAGAAGUUCAUGUUUGAGUUCCUUAUUACAAACCUUUUUGUUUUACUGCAUAAACAAUGCUUUUUCCCUAGGAUAUACACUAUUUGCAGUAAGAAAAUAACUAGUCAAGCACAAAAAAAUUUAAGUAUCUACUGGCAUACAUUUGAAUCCUUAAUCAAGCAGGGCCCAGACAGUAGAAGCUUGUUCCCAAAUUUACCUGAUCAUGUCACUGCAAAUGGAGACCUGUCAAUAGCUGCUUCUAGCAUGAUUUGUUCCCACAGUGUAUCUGGUGACCUGUAUGGUGUUGCACCUGAUCCUGUGCAGCUGAUAUUAUAAGAAAAAAGCCAGAGCAUGAAACUUCGGUAUGGCUUAAAAUUAUACCCAAACUGGUAUGGACUCCCUCUUCUCUCCUUGCGAACUUCCAUCCUUAGCUGCUGUGCUUUUCUCUGCAUGGACAAACUUGUAAAUGUGUGGAGUGCUUUGCUUUCAAUAUUUUACGGAUCAUUGCUUGUGUGUGUUAUUAGUGUAAAGUAUGCAGCUAUUAAUAUGAUGGUAUGCAAGAAAAAAAUUGAGACAUAAAAAACAAAAUAGUGAUGAGAUUUUGCUCAAAAUUCCUAGCGCAAAUGUUCAAAAUUAAACCAGACUUAGCCUGUGGUUCAGUCAUGCUAGGUUUGAUCAGCCCUUAUGCUGUUUGGUUUGCUGAAACUUUAAAAAAUAUUUAAUUGAAUUUUUUAGAAGAAAAUUAAAAUGAUUUAAAAAAAAAUCCAAAAAAAUGGUCGAAUUGUCAUGCUUAUAAGUUAUUCUGGUUGUUGCUGUUGUGUUCUUUUCUCUGCUUGGUUGGAGAAAUGAAUUUUAUCCCUUCACUUAUUUUCCGCAUGAGAAAAAAUUAAACUCAUGCUCAGCUCUCCCUUUCUGCAUUCAACCAUCAACCAGGAAGCUGGCUACUCUUUGGUGUAAUAUCCAUCAUCAUCUUUUCUACUGCAAUGCCAAUUUACCUAAUCUUAAACGAAAUUUCUCAUGAAUAAAAAUUUCCAAUGGAUUUUCAUAAAAUUCAUGAUCUAAUUCCCCCAUUGAAAAACUCCAUAUUCAUCUCUCCCGUCUCACAGCAUUUUUUGCUGCAAAGCAUAAUCUUUUGUAGAGUCAAAGCUUAUGCAACCACAUGUUGGUAGUUCAAAACCUCAAACAGACAUAUAAUUGAUAUGGACCAAAAUGGGUAGGCAUAUGGUCCAUAUAAAGUUGCCAAAGUUGAGUUGAGGGUAUUUUAGUGUGGAAGACUGACGUAUUCACAAUUAGUUCUGUCUACAAGACUCUAGCGCCAGGUGCAACCUUUCCUUUUGCUGUUGAACAUAUUUGAGAUCCUAAAGUGCCUUCCAUGGUUGGCUUUUUGCUUGGAUGGCAUUGUGGGAGAAAAUCUUAAACAUAGAUCAGCUUAUAAGAUGAGAGUGGACCUAGGUGAAGUGGGAUUGCCAUUACAAGCAAGAUGAGGAGAUGGCUGAUCAUAAAAUCCAUUGUGACUGGAUCUCUUGCUCUUUGCAUUUCUCUCUUUGGGGUGGGUUGGGUUAUUCCCUGGGAAUAUUUUUCUAAGAUAGCUCAAUAGUUUCAGGGUAAAGAAUCACAAAGCAGUUCAGAAAAUGGCUCUACUAAUUUUGUUUUGGAUGGUUUGGAAAAAGUGGAAGUGAUGAACCUUCAAAAAUUUGAAGCAUUUGAUUUUGGUUGUCAAGAAUCAGUUUCUAAGUUCUUUGGUUUUUUUUCUUGGUCUAAAGGGCUCUGUACUGAUGGGAUGCCAACUUUAGCUUUGUAGAUUUUGUUAACAGUUUGGGUUGCUUUAUGUGCGUUUCUUUUCCUUCUUUUUUUCAAUUAACAGAGUGGAUGUGUAUGGGCCUGUGUAUUUUCAUUUCUCCAUUGACCAUGGUUGUAUCCCUUUCUUGUUUGUGCCUAUGCACAUACUGAUUCAUUUAUUGCCAUCAGUCCAGUGACAUAAGUUUUAUCAGGCAAAGCUGCUUUAUUCUGUUUUUCCAAGAGUAGAUUAAACAGUAGUCUCUAGCCCCUCCGGGGCAGUGGCCAGCUUAACUCGUAGGUACUUUCCGUUCAGGAGAGGUGGGAGGUUCCAGGUUCCAGUCAUGGGCUUACAUAAUACGUGGUUCUGGUGGUAGGGGUUGUUUAAUGGCGGCCGUCCCUGGUCUUGCAGAAUACACCAUGUUUGUGUUAUUUAACAAAAUGAUCUUAGAAUCUUUGCAUUUUCAAGAUUAGAUCCUUGUAUCCUUUGAAACUCCAACUAAGCUGAUCUAUGCAGGUCCUGCAACAUGUAGAAUUCAGAAGUGAGACCAAAUUAAAUUAACUUAAUCACCUAUUUCUUGUGAGAAAA